rnacentral:rRNA from 1 species
CCAAUAGCGUAUAUUAAAGUUGUUGCAGUUAAAAAGCUCGUAGUUGAAUUUCGGGAUUGACACAUCGGUCGUGCCUUAAGGGGUAUGAACUGGUGUAGUCAAUUUCUCACCUUCUGGAGAACCGCAAUGCCCUUAAUUGGGUGUCGCGGGGAACCAGGACCUUUACUUUGAAAAAAUUAGAGUGUUUAAAGCAGGCAUUUUGCUUGAAUACAUUAGCAUGGAAUAAUAAAAUAGGACGGAUGAUUCUAUUUUGUUGGUUUCUAGGACCACCGUAAUGAUUAAUAGGGAUAGUUGGGGGCAUUAGUAUUCAAUUGUCAGAGGUGAAAUUCUUGGAUUUAUUGAAGACUAACUACUGCGAAAGCAUUUGCCAAGGAUGUUUUCAUUAAUCAAGAACGAAAGUUAGGGGAUCGAAGACGAUCAGAUACCGUCGUAGUCUUAACCAUAAACUAUGCCGACUAGGAAUCAGACGAUGUUAAUUUUUUAAUGACUCGUUUGGCACCUUACG